rnacentral:rRNA from 1 species
CAGUAGCCACGGGAAUACGUAGGGUCCGAGCGUUGUCCGGAAUUAUUGGGCGUAAAGGGCUCGUAGGCGGUUUGUCGCGUCGGGAGUGAAAACCAGCAGCUUAACUGCUGGCCUGCUUUCGAUACGGGCAGACUUGAGGCAUUCAGGGGAGAACGGAAUUCCUGGUGUAGCGGUGAAAUGCGCAGAUAUCAGGAGGAACACCGGUGGCGAAGGCGGUUCUCUGGGCAUGUUCUGACGCUGAGGAGCGAAAGUGUGGGGAGCGAACAGGAUUAGAUACCCCAGUAGUCCCUGUCUCUUAUAC